UACAGAGGGGGCAAGCGUUGUUCGGAAUUACUGGGCGUAAAGGGCGCGUAGGCGGCCUGUUAAGUCGAACGUGAAAUCCCCGGGCUCAACCCGGGAACUGCGUCCGAUACUGGCAGGCUUGAAUCCGGGAGAGGGAUGCGGAAUUCCAGGUGUAGCGGUGAAAUGCGUAGAUAUCUGGAGGAACACCGGUGGCGAAGGCGGCAUCCUGGACCGGUAUUGACGCUGAGGCGCGAAAGCCAGGGAGCAAACGGG
rnacentral:rRNA from 1 species